CCUACGGGGUGCAGCAGUGAGGAAUAUUGGUCAAUGGACGAGAGUCUGAACCAGCCAAGUAGCGUGAAGGAUGACUGCCCUAUGGGUUGUAAACUUCUUUUAUAUGGGAAUAAAACGUUCCACGUGUGGGAUUUUGUAUGUACCAUAUGAAUAAGGAUCGGCUAACUCCGUGCCAGCAGCCGCGGUAAUACGGAGGAUCCGAGCGUUAUCCGGAUUUAUUGGGUUUAAAGGGAGCGUAGGUGGAUUGUUAAGUCAGUUGUGAAAGUUUGCGGCUCAACCGUAAAAUUGCAGUUGAAACUGGCAGUCUUGAGUACAGUAGAGGUGGGCGGAAUUCGUGGUGUAGCGGUGAAAUGCUUAGAUAUCACGAAGAACUCCGAUUGCGAAGGCAGUUCACUGGACUGCAACUGACGCUGAGGCUCGAAAGUGCGGGUAUCAAACAGGAUUAGAUACCCUUGUAGUC
rnacentral:rRNA from 1 species